rnacentral:rRNA from 1 species
UGCGUAACACGUAUCCAACCUGCCCGUUACUCGGGGAUAGCCUUUCGAAAGAAAGAUUAAUACCCGAUGGUUUCGCAUCACCGCAUGACGGUGCGAAUAAAGAUUCAUCGGUAACGGAUGGGGAUGCGUCCGAUUAGCUUGUUGGCGGGGUAACGGCCCACCAAGGCGACGAUCGGUAGGGGCUCUGAGAGGAGGGUCCCCCACAUUGGAACUGAGACACGGUCCAAACUCCUACGGGAGGCAGCAGUGAGGAAUAUUGGUCAAUGGGCGAGAGCCUGAACCAGCCAAAAGUAGCGUGAGGGACGACUGCCCUAUGGGUUGUAAACCUCUUUUGUUUGGGAAUAAAGUGGGCCACGCGUGGCUUUUUGUAUGUACCUUACGAAUAAGCAUCGGCUAAUUCCGUGCCAGCCGCCGC